CGGCCGGGGUUUGGCACCCAAACACGUGCCGGGGGGGCUUUGCUGGGAAAGGGCACGGCGCCCCGGGGGCCGUUGGGGCGGGCGCCUCCCGGCUCGGCGCCCGCUGGCUCUGGAGCAGCCGGGCUCCUCGCAGCCCCCCAGCCCUGGGACGCGUCUCGCGCCGGGUUUAACCCGCCCCGGCCCGUGGCGGGUGCCGCGACGCCGGGCUCUCCACGGCUCCCCCCCGGCCCAGAUCACCCGGCGAGCCCUCUUCCCCGGAGACUCGGAGAUCGACCAGCUCUUCCGCAUCUUCCGCACGCUGGGCACGCCGGACGAGGCCGUGUGGCCCGGCGUCACCUCCAUGCCCGACUACAAGCCCAGCUUCCCCAAGUGGGCGCGCCAGGACUUCGGCAAGGUGGUGCCGCCCCUGGACGAGGAGGGCCGCAAGCUGCUGGCGCAAAUGCUGCACUACGACCCCAACAAGCGGAUCUCGGCCAAGGCGGCGCUGGGUCACCCCUUCUUCCGCGACGUCACCCGGGCCGUCCCCCACCUGCGCUUGUGAYGCAGCCCGGCCCCAGGGCUGCCGCCCCCCCCCCUUGCACUUAGCCCCCGGGGCUCGGCUGCGCCGGGGCCCCCGGGCCGGGACUCGCAGCCUCCCACCCGGCCCCAGCGCCGGCCCCGCACCGCCCAGGUGAGAUCCCGGGCCCGGGAGGCGCCUCCGGCCCCAGGGCAGCGUCGCUGCGGCUCGGGGACCCUCGUCCCCCCUGUGUGACUCCCUCCUGCCCCGACCCCGGGGAGCGAGCGGGGCCCCGCGUGGGGUGAGGGUUGUUCCGGCGGGCGCGAUCCCGCCGGGCCUGCUCCAUUCCCGCCUGGCGGAGGCUCCYGUCUUCCCUCUCCUGGACUUCAGGCACUUACUGCCCUUCCCCGGAGGCGUUUCGGGCUGCGGAGCGGCACCGUCGGGGCCCCGUCCCGGCUUUGCCCAGCUCCUGCCACGCCGCCGGGCCUCUCCCGGCUCCCCGCGCCCGGCUCCGCGCCUUGUCCGUCC
rnacentral:lncRNA from 1 species